AUGGUGCUCCUUGCGGCUGGUACGACCGCUGGUACCAUUGGGCGCAGUUGUAGCAAGCGUCAUAUUUUGCUCUGUUGCUCUUGUGGCGCCUCCAAUGGACUUGGCUUGGUUCCCAUAGUUGUCGUUUCCUUAUAUAUGAUGUUUUUCUUCCAUCUUUUAGCAUAUUUUUCGAGGAAACAUAUUGACAAAGGAUUUCACAAUUUCUUACAUUCAUUAGUCAUUACUACCAAUAACAAAGUUAUUCUCUCGGAAAUUUCAAAAUUAUCCUAUUUAAACAAUGAUGUAAUAAGUGCAAAAAUAUCACUCAUCAAAAAUGUGAUUAUAUACAUAAAUUUUUGA
rnacentral:rRNA from 1 species